CGCACUACAUUAAAAUGGAUUUUCACUAGAUCACUGAAUCACACUUCUAGACCCUUUGGCUCACCUCAAGGAUUCUUCCUCAAAUGGGAGUGCAAAACCAGAGCAAGAUAAAGUUAACAAAGUUGGACAGCAAGGUAGAAGGAAACCAAAGAGAAAAGCUGAAACAUAAAAUAUUGCGUCAGAACAUUUUAUUUUAUUAGCAAAAGUGGCGUUUGUUCAUAAAAGGCUGGCCUUUUGUUUCUGCUUAGUUUACUGUGUUGCAUUGAGUGUGAAAGGUGGCUUAUAUGCAAAAUGGUUGUUCAGCGAGUAAAGAAUUGCCUGUAUUCAUUUGUUUCUUUUGAUGCUGGCCUGUUUAUUGAAUCAGAUAGUUUAGUUGGACAAAUAUUUCAAGUUUUGAGUUUUCCUGCCUUUGUGCAUGAGUAGUGCGUCAGAUUUUGGCGGACUCUUCAGUUGGGACCUCGCUGCUGUGCCAUGCUGUUUUGGUGAAAUGUUGCUUUAGGCUAGUAUUAGGAAAUUCAUUCCCAGUGGUAUUUCCGAUUAAGGAGCCACUGCCACUAAGUCUUGUGUAGUGUACAUUCACCAAGCAGCUACCUAGUAUAGUGUACAUUCACCAAGCAGCUACCUAACCCACCACCUUAUUCCUUUGUUGUACUAGACAAGCGCAUAGCCUAUUGUCGGCUACUGAAGAAACCUGUGUUGAAGGCUAUAGGCGUGGUGUAGUGUGUCAAAGCUAAUGGUUCCUGAGUUGCAGGAGAUACAGUCAUGAAUGGCUUGUUAAUGGCUCAUUAAUGGUUGUAGAAUAAAACCCUACAGUGAGAAGAGCUUAUUCCUGCUAACCUCCCCAGCAAUUUAGGAGCUAGGACAGCGUUGUGUCCCCAGCGCUAUUUCAGUCUGUGGAGUUGUUCAGAUUUUGAACUGAGCAGGCUGAUAAAUUCUACACUGAAAUGUGAAAGGCAGAAAGCAAGCCUUCCUUCCUGGCCAAAAGAAUGCUCCAAAAAUCUUUUAGUACUAUCUACAAAGUUUUACAAGGCACUCAGUAGACAAUGAUGAAAGUUAUCAACAUUAACCCAAAACAUUAAAUUGC